rnacentral:rRNA from 1 species
AUUGAACGCUGGCGGCAUGCCUAACACAUGCAAGUCGAGCGAGCGGCGGACGGGUGAGUAAUGCCUGGGAAUUGCCCAGUCGAGGGGGAUAACAGUUGGAAUAGACUGCUAAUCCCGCAUACGAUUGGCUUGGAAAGGUGGGAUUAGCUAGUUGGCGAGGUAAUGGUUCACCAAGGCGACGAUCCGUAGCUGGUCUGAGAGGAUGAUCAGCCACACUGGAACUGAGACACGGGCCAGACUCCUACGGGAGGCAGCAGUGGGGAAUAUUGCACAAUGGGGGAAACCCUGAUGCAGCCAUGCCGCGUGUGUGAAGAAGGCCUUCGGGUUGUAAAGCACUUUAAGCGAGGAGGCGUUACUCGCAGAAGAAGCACCGGCUAACUCCGUGCCAGCAGCCGCGGUAAUAC